CCAGACUCCUACGGGAGGCAGCAGUGAGGAAUAUUGGUCAAUGGGCGCGAGCCUGAACCAGCCAAGUCGCGUGAGGGAUGACGGCCCUACGGGUUGUAAACCUCUUUUGUCGGGGAGCAAAUUCCGCCACGUGUGGCGGAGUCGAGAGUACCCGAAGAAAAAGCAUCGGCUAACUCCGUGCCAGCAGCCGCGGUAAUACGGAGGAUUCAAGCGUUAUCCGGAUUUAUUGGGUUUAAAGGGUGCGUAGGCGGUUCGAUAAGUUAGAGGUGAAAUCCCGGGGCUCAACUCCGGCACUGCCUCUGAUACUGUCGGGCUAGAGUUUAGUUGCGGUAGGCGGAAUGUAUGGUGUAGCGGUGAAAUGCAUAGAGAUCAUACAGAACACCGAUUGCGAAGGCAGCUUACCAAACUACGACUGACGUUGAGGCACGAAAGCGUGGGGAGCAAACAGGAUUAGAUACCCGCGUACA
rnacentral:rRNA from 1 species